rnacentral:rRNA from 1 species
AGCGAACGCUGGCGGCAGGCUUAACACAUGCAAGUCGAACGGGCGUAGCAAUACGUCAGUGGCAGACGGGUGAGUAACGCGUGGGAACGUACCUUUUGGUUCGGAACAACUGAGGGAAACUUCAGCUAAUACCGGAUAAGCCCUUACGGGGAAAGAUUUAUCGCCGAAAGAUCGGCCCGCGUCUGAUUAGCUAGUUGGUGGGGUAAUGGCUCACCAAGGCGACGAUCCGUAGCUGGUCUGAGAGGAUGACCAGCCACACUGGGACUGAGACACGGCCCAGACUCCUACGGGAGGCAG